AUUGAACGCUGGCGGCAGGCCUAACACAUGCAAGUCGAGCGAGCGGCGGACGGGUGAGUAAUGUCUGGGAAACUGCCUGAUGGAGGGGGAUAACUACUGGAAACGGUAGCUAAUACCGCAUACCAUCAGAUGUGCCCAGAUGGGAUUAGCUAGUAGGUGGGGUAACGGCUCACCUAGGCGACGAUCCCUAGCUGGUCUGAGAGGAUGACCAGCCAACCUGGAACUUAGGCUCGGGCCCGACUCCUUCCGGAGGCAAGAGGGGGGAAUAUUGCACAAUGGGCGCAAGCCUGAUGCAGCCAUGCCGCGUGUAUGAAGAAGGCCUUCGGGUUAUAAAGUACUUUCAGCGGGGAGGCGUUACCCGCAGAAGAAGCACCGGCUAACUCCGUGCCAGCAGCCGCGGUAAUAC
rnacentral:rRNA from 1 species